rnacentral:lncRNA from 1 species
GUAUAAAUCCGAAGAGGAAAACGGCCAAUACUGAAGCUGGCCAUCUCCCCCCAUGCGGAGUGGAAAUGCCUGGGAGGUGGUGGAGUCCACUGCGGGAGGGUCUCUCCUUCCCCGCAGUCGAGACACCAUGGGAGAAGGGGGGGAAACCUCGGAGGUGGUGGCCGCCUCUUCUUCGUCGUUCUCCCUGGCAGAGGAGGAGGGUUGUGCUCUGUACGGCGGGGGGUCCUCUGUGAGAAGGUCAAUGAGGGGUCCGCCGCUAUCAGGGAGAACCUGGGGCUUAGGAGGUUUGGACUUUAUAGAGGGGGUAAGGGCAGGGUAAAGGGCAGAUCGGGACGGAGGUUGCGCAGAAGGACCGGGCGGGAGGACGGGAGCUGUCGGCAAGGGAGGAAGUUUAGGAGACACAAACGGUUUGACCCACGGAGGGGGGUCAUAGGCAAGUGCCUCCCAGGUGACGAUAUAUGGGACCUGAUCCGGGUGUCCGUGGGGACCAGGACAAAACACUCUAGACUUAACCUGAGAGAUAAUACUUAAAUUGAAAGUACCAUCCUGAGGCCAUCCCACAUUGAAAGUUGGCCAUUCAGCGGAACAGAAGGUAAUCCAGCGCCUCUUCCUGACAUCCACAGACUGGUUGGAUGCAAUGCGCUGGACAUCUCCCCAGUGCUGCAAGGUUAAACUCAGAGGGGUAGUUACGGUCUGUCCCAUGAUCUCGAAAACACUUAAAGACAGAAGAAAACUAACGAAGAACAAAAGAACAACAAACAAAUCAGACGCGCGGCGCGGCUUCGGCGUAAAACCGAAAGCAAAAAUUAAGACGGGGGCGGGAAGUGUCUCUGUUUCUCGUCCCCCAACAAAGCCACGUACAGUGGCGGAGCUCCAAAAAGUCCGACUCGGGUAGGUUAACUGAUACAGAAUGGGCCACAAAACGGGCCCCCGAGGCCGCUGGGACGUCUCCCAGGGGCUGCGGCCGGGAAUACGAACUCGUCAGUUCUUCCGCGGAACCGCCAGAUACAGAUCUAGUUAGCUAACUAGUACAGACGCAGGCGCAAACAUUGGAUGCCGGCACAAACACGCACGAAGACAGAGACAGACACGAAACGACCGCUGGCCAGCUUACCUCCCGGCGGGGGGGUCGGUGGUCCCUGGGCAGGGGUCUCCAAAUCUCGGUGGAACCUCCAAAUGAAAGACCCCCGACGUGGGUAGUCAAUCAAUCUGAGGAGACCCUCUCAAGGACCAGCGAGACCACGAUUCGGAUGCAAACAGCAAGAGGCUUUAUUGGGAACACGGGUACCCGGGCGACGCAGUCUAUCGGAGGACUGGCGCGCCGAGUGUGGAGUUUUUACCCUUUUUAUAGGGCUGGGGCUGGGGAGCAAAAAGCGCAGUUACAGAAGCGAGAAGCGAGCUGGUUGGUUAGUUCGAAUAAGGCUUGGGGUAUUUCUCGGUCAUUUGGGGAAACUGAGGUGGGACUUUUUAGUUCUAAACAAUGUCUAUUUUCAAGAAAUGGGUAUGGGAGGGGUACGAGGAGAGGGUCUAAUGAAGGUUCAACAAUGGGCACACACCUGGUCAGAACAUUGGCAGACACACAGGUUCAAGGAGUGGCCAGAGCUCUGUGCACCUCUAUUUUUCUAAAUCAGUGAAGCUAGUUCUGCUAACACUGACGUCUGAGAGCCAUCUGUUCUUGGCCCUGAGCCGGGGCCCAGGUGCUUGACCACCGAUAUUUGGCCCCUGUCCCAGUAUUAUUCAGCCUUAAUCUUUAACUGUUAAUCUUUAACUGAACUUUCUUGUAACUUUUGAGAACUCAGCUCUGGUACUUUUUCAUGCCUUGCAAAAUGGCGUUACUGCAGCUAGCUUGCUAAGCCUGAUGGUGGGGUCUUUCACUAUAGGAGAGUACCAAACUGCUGAACCAUCUCUCCAGCUCUUCAUUUAUUUGUAAUGAUGUAUCUGUGUAUCUGUGUGUGGGUGUGUGCAUGUGCCUGUGGAGGCCAGGGCAUUAGAUGUCCCUGGGGCUGGGCUUAUAGGUGGUUGUGAGCCACUCAACGGUGUCAGGAGCUGUUCUUGGGUCCUCUGCAAGACACUGAUAUCUUUACUGCUAAGAAUACCCCAGCCUGAGUUUUCAUUUUCUAAGAGCAUUUUGGAAACUCCUGUGGUUUCGUUUAGCAUUUUUAGUAACUGAUGUGAUUUGUAAAAUGGCAGCCAUGAGCCGUUGGCUUACCACCUUUUACCCUGGGCUGUCUUGUCUGACUUUGAGUCUGUUACAUUUCUUACUUGAUCUUGAAUUCUUUGGUUUUUUUUCAAAGUAGAGUCUUGCUUUGUUGCCCAGCCCCUUCCUGGUCUGGAACUCACUAUAUAGUUCAGGCUGACGUUGAACCUGCAACAGUCUUGACGCUGCCUGUCAAUUUCUAGGACUAUAGACGGAGUCCUUCUCAGUUUGGAGAGUUACUGUUAGUAUUGGAGUAGGUGACUAAUGAGGAAAUGUUUUCUGGAUUUGGGCUCUGAGUGGACGGGUACUUAAAGGUUAGAAGGUUCCUGAAGACAUUGCAGUCAAGUAUAAGUAGUUAGUUAUUCUUCCCCAGCUGUUGACAUUUACCCUGAGGUCAUCACAACUUCAUUGUGUCUCCAUCCUGAGACACCCCCCCCCCCCCACCUUUGACUUGUAUAGCUCAGGUUUUGGUGACUGAGCAAUAAUGCCUUCCUUCCGCUUUCUCUACCAGGAGGCCAACUAUUCCUCAUCAAGGCUUUUAAGAGUAUAAAUUAUAAAGAGUAUAUAUCAUAAAGAGUAUAAGUUAUCUGUAAGCUCUUGGCUCACCAUGGUGCCUGCUGUAUAGGAGCUGUUUAAUUUGUAUAACCUGAAGUGUAUGAUGCUGUCUGACUCUGUCCCUUUUCUCAGAGCAAUUUGUUGUUGUUUGUUUUGUUUUCUAACUUAGGGGAACUGGAGAGAUGGCUCAACAGUUAGGGGCACUUGCUGCUCUUGCAGAGACCCAAGUUCAGUUCCCAGUACCCAUAUGGCAGCUCACAAAUGUCUGGGAACUGCCGGGAUCCUAUGCAUUCUUCUGGCCUCUGUGAGCACUAGGCAUGCAUGUGGUAUGCAGACAUAAUCAGAGGCAAAACACAAAUGCACAUCAAAUUUUUUAAUUUAAAAAAUUCAAUUCAUGUUUAUUUAUUUAUUUGGGCUUUUUUAAGAUUAAAGAUAGAUUUUUUUUCAUGCAGUAUAUUUAUUUUCUAAUCAUGGUUUCCCUUUCUUCAUUGCCUCCCAGAUUCUCCCCAACUCCCCACCCAUCCAUCCCCACACCUUCCUGUUUAGAUAACAGAC